GAAGUGAUGUGAGCCUCGCCUCAUUUCCAUUCCCUACUUCCAUCAUUCGGAGGGGGUAUCCGAGGCAUCCGAGCCCCUACCCAAAACCAGUCUUUCUCUUCAACCAGGCUGAUUAACACACUCAAAUGUGUUUGUGUCAGGGGGCACGGGGGCAGUUAUUAGUUCGUUUUUGUUUUAUUAUGUACUUUGUGUUCUCAUUUUGUGUCUUUCUGUUGUGAACGGCUCCCGCGAUCAUUGGCCGAAGGGCAGUAUAUAAAUUUAAUAAAUAAUACUGUUCUUGUUUACCAAUCUGAAUUACUUUCUCUUAAUGUUGUGUAGCUCAAGAGCAAUUGAGAAGAUGCAUCGACAACACAACCAUACCGUUUGUAUUCUGCUAUUUUUCUGGGGAAAGAAGUGCCGGAGCUCACCAUGAACACCUCCCUCGUUCUCUUAGAAUGGCAGUGGCGCCCACCUGAAAAAAAAAGCCCUGACUUUUACUCCGUAGUCAGGCCACUCCAACUACGCUUAAACACACACAGGCAG